UACAGAGGGUGCGAGCGUUAAUCGGAAUUACUGGGCGUAAAGCGUGCGUAGACGGCUAUCUAAGUCGGGUGUGAAAGCCCCGGGCUCAACCUGGGAAUUGCAUUCGAGACUGAAUAGCUAGGGUACGGUAGAGGGAAGUGGAAUUUCCGGUGUAGCGGUGAAAUGCGUAGAUAUCGGAAGGAACAUCAGUGGCGAAAGCGACUUCCUGGACCAGUACCGACGUUCAGGCACGAAAGCGUGGGGAGCAAACAGGGA
rnacentral:rRNA from 1 species